rnacentral:rRNA from 1 species
UACAGAGGUCCCGAGCGUUGUCCGGAAUUAUUGGGCGUAAAGAGCUCGUAGGCGGUGUGUCACGUCGGCCGUGAAAACCUGCAGCUUAACUGUGGGCGUGCGGUCGAUACGGGCAUCACUGGAGUUCGGCAGGGGAGACUGGAAUUCCUGGUGUAGCGGUGAAAUGCGCAGAUAUCAGGAGGAACACCGAUGGCGAAGGCAGGUCUCUGGGCAUUAACUGACGCUGAGGAGCGAAAGCAUGGGGAGCGAACAGG